rnacentral:tRNA from 1 species
UUUUAUCUAGUUUAAAAAAAAUAAUAGUUUGUCAAAUUAUUGAUGCUUUUUUGCGAUUAACA